rnacentral:rRNA from 1 species
GGGUCAGUAGGUUGGUCGUGCCACCGGUACGUACUGGUCUCACUGAUUCCUCCUUCCUGAAGAACCGUAAUGCCAUGAAUUUGGUGUUGCGGGGAAACAGGACUGUUACUUUGAAAAAAUUAGAGUGUUUAAAGCAAGCUAACGCCUGAAUACAUUAGCAUGGAAUAAUGAAAUAGGACGAUCGAUCCUAUUUUGUUGGUUUCUAGUAUUGACGUA